rnacentral:lncRNA from 1 species
UGGGCUGUGGUAAGUUGCUGCCUUUUUUGAUUUUUGCUGGAAACACUUUCAAUUUUUGCUGGAAUUAGUUUCUCGAUUUGCUGCAUCGGGAGAGGAUAGUGCUAGGCGGCCACGACGGCGGGGGUGCUAUGUUUUUUGCUGCACAGGAUUUUUGCUGGAACCAGAUUUUUUUCUCCUGCUGCAAUCGGUGAGGAUGGUGUUGGGGUAGCUACGAUGACGACGCCAUGCCUUUUUUGCUGCAUUGAUUUCUUUUGCUGGAAACCCCUUUUUUCAAUUUUGCUGGAACUAUAUGACUUUUUUGUUGGAACUAUGUCUGUUAUUUGUUGGAACCAUAUCAACGUGUUUCGCUGGAAAAAUAUCAUUUUUGCUGGAACCACAUUAUUGUUUGCUGGAACCAUAUCAAUUAUUUGUUGGAACCAUGUGUUUUGCUUUUCAAACUAGCGUUGCUAUUUUUUGUUGCAACAGAGGAGCGCCGACGGCGACGGCGAGCAGCGAGCGGCCAACGGUGGGGAGCCAGCGAAGCUUCGAGGUCGUGCGGGCAAGGAUCGAUGGCGUUCGUGUGUGUUUUUUAUCCAUGCAUGCGAGGCAGAAAGACAGGGAGGGAAAAGGAAAAAGAAAAGAGAUCUGACGAUUCGCAUCUUUUAGAUCGGGUGGCUAGCAGCUGACCGGCCGAAGGGUUAGGCCGGUGCGCCGGCGCCUAGUAGUGCCCAUUCAGAAAAGCUUUGGGAUUUUUUCCGGACAGUGUAUUCCCAUCUUUUGAAGACAUGAACACUUUCCCUCAAAAAAAAGACAUGAACACUUUUUGAAUUGUGAAUAUUUUGAAAAGGCGAAUA